AACAGUGGCUAGGGAUUCUAUUUCUUCGCAUCAUCUUCUCCUUGAUGCCCCUUUCCUUCCUCUUUCCCUAUUAACGAUGCGAAGACGACGACGUCGACUUCCGGAGGAGCAGUAGGUGACAACAACCAUCGGGCAACACCGGAGUGACGCUAUGAAGAAGGUAGCAGGAGCUCAGAUUUUCCAUCGUUCCACUUUCCCCUUCGUCGGAGGAGACCAGUCGGCGUUCAUCCGCAUUUCUCAACCAUCAGUUGGAUCUCUAAGUUUCUCUGCCAUGCGCGGUGAAGAAGGCAACGACUUAGCGUUCUGACAACCCAUUUUUCUCCAUUUCACAGACGAAGUUACAGUAGAGAUCUUCCAGGUUUCGACACUAGACCUCAAUCUGCUCGGUGAGGUGAAGAAGGCAGAUCUAGGUUGAUGGUUCUUGGUAGAUUUCCUUCGCAGCAAAUUUCUCACGGAGUUGUUUGCUUCGAGGGAUAUUGCACUUCCAUUGUCAUCGAUUAACUCUCCGAUUAGCAGUGUCGUCGUCCAUCAAAUUCAGGGGAAUUCCGAGUGACAGCAGUUUUCUUCCUCGGUAGUUCCGUUUGUGACAGGUGGAACACUUCUCGUGUUUGUUCGUGGAAAAAUGGUUUGGAUAGUUUAAUUUACUUUCUAGUUGAUUGUUUCAUGUUUAGUUGUUAGCUUAUUUUUGUAUUUGAUUUUAUGGUUGUUAUGACACAUGCUAAAUUUGUUAGUUUUGAUAUUCUGUUUAGUUUCAUUCAUGCAUGAGGGUUAAUUCUGUAUCAUUGGGUGACAAUGUGGUGCAGGGUGAUCGUUUAUGCAUAAUUAGGUUUAAUUUAUUGCUGUUAAGUUGUUUA